rnacentral:ncRNA from 2 species
GAGAAACACUGGGGGUGCGCGCGAGCGCUGAGACCGGCUUUGCCGGAACUCUUUGUACCUGAUCUAGUUCAUACUAGCGUAGGGAAUGUGGCGUUUGACUAUU